rnacentral:rRNA from 1 species
GAUGAACGCUGACAGAAUGCUUAACACAUGCAAGUCAACUUGAAUUUGGGUUUUUACCUUAGGUUUGGGUGGCGGACGGGUGAGUAACGCGUAAAGAACUUGCCUCACAGCUAGGGACAACAUUUGGAAACGAAUGCUAAUACCUAAUAUUAUGAUAAUAGGGCAUCCUAUAAUUAUGAAAGCUAUAAGCGCUGUGAGAGAGCUUUGCGUCCCAUUAGCUAGUUGGAGAGGUAGCGGCUCACCAAGGCGAUGAUGGGUAGCCGGCCUGAGAGGGUGAUCGGCCACAAGGGGACUGAGACACGGCCCUUACUCCUACGGGAGGCAGCAGUGGGGAAUAUUGGACAAUGGACCAAGAGUCUGAUCCAGCAAUUCUGUGUGCACGAUGAAGUUUUUCGGAAUGUAAAGUGCUUUCAGUUGGGAAGAAAGAAAUGACGGUACCAACAGAAGAAGUGACGGCUAAAUACGUG